rnacentral:rRNA from 1 species
CCUACGGGAGGCAGCAGUGGGGGAUAUUGCACAAUGGGGGGAACCCUGAUGCAGCGACGCCGCGUGGGUGAAGAAGCGCCUCGGCGCGUAAAGCCCUGUCAGCAGGGAAGAAAAUGACGGUACCUGAAGAAGAAGCCCCGGCGAACUACGUGCCAGCAGCCGAGGUAAGACGCAGGGGGCAAGCGUUAUCCGGAUGUACUGGGUGUAAUGGGGGCGCAGACGGCGAUGCAAGCUCGGCGUGAAAGCCCGGGGUCCAACCCCGGGACUGCUCGUGGAACUGCGUGGCUGGAGUGCAGGAGGGGCAAGCGGAAUGCCUGGUGUAGCGGUGAAAUGCGUAGAUAUCAGGAGGAACACCGGUGGCGAAGGCGGCCUGCUGGACUGCAACUGACGUUGAGGCCCGAAAGCGUGGGGAACAAACAGGAUUAGAUACCCCAGUAGUC